GGUUAAGCGACUAAGCGUACACGGUGGAUGCCCUGGCAGUCAGAGGCGAUGAAGGGCGUGCUAAUCUGCGAUAAGCGCCGGUAAGGUGAUAUGAACCGUUAUAACCGGCGAUACCCGAAUGGGGAAACCCAGUGUGAUUCGUCACACUAUCAUUAACUGAAUCCAUAGGUUAAUGAGGCGAACCGGGGGAACUGAAACAUCUAAGUACCCCGAGGAAAAGAAAUCAACCGAGAUUCCCCCAGUAGCGGCGAGCGAACGGGGAGGAGCCCAGAGCCUGAAUCAGCAUGUGUGUUAGUGGAAGCGUCUGGAAAGGCGCGCGAUACAGGGUGACAGCCCCGUACACAAAAGCGCAUGUGCUGUGAGCUCGAUGAGUAGGGCGGGACACGUGGUAUCCUGUCUGAAUAUGGGGGGACCAUCCUCCAAGGCUAAAUACUCCUGACUGACCGAUAGUGAACCAGUACCGUGAGGGAAAGGCGAAAAGAACCCCGGCGAGGGGAGUGAAAAAGAACCUGAAACCGUGUACGUACAAGCAGUGGGAGCACCCUUUGGGUGUGACUGCGUACCUUUUGUAUAAUGGGUCAGCGACUUAUAUUCUGUAGCAAGGUUAACCGAAUAGGGGAGCCGGAGGGAAACCGAGUCUUAACCGGGCGUUAAGUUGCAGGGUAUAGACCCGAAACCCGGUGAUCUAGCCAUGGGCAGGUUGAAGGUUGGGUAACACUAACUGGAGGACCGAACCGACUAAUGUUGAAAAAUUAGCGGAUGACCUGUGGCUGGGGGUGAAAGGCCAAUCAAACCGGGAGAUAGCUGGUUCUCCCCGAAAGCUAUUUAGGUAGCGCCUCGUGAAUUCAUCUCCGGGGGUAGAGCACUGUUUCGGCUAGGGGGCCAUCCCGGCUUACCAACCCGAUGCAAACUGCGAAUACCGGAGAAUGUUAUCACGGGAGACACACGGCGGGUGCUAACGUCCGUCGUGAAGAGGGAAACAACCCAGACCGCCAGCUAAGGUCCCAAAGUCAUGGUUAAGUGGGAAACGAUGUGGGAAGGCCCAGACAGCCAGGAUGUUGGCUUAGAAGCAGCCAUCAUUUAAAGAAAGCGUAAUAGCUCACUGGUCGAGUCGGCCUGCGCGGAAGAUGUAACGGGGCUAAACCAUGCACCGAAGCUGCGGCAGCGACACUGUGUGUUGUUGGGUAGGGGAGCGUUCUGUAAGCCUGUGAAGGUGUGUCGUGAGGCAUGCUGGAGGUAUCAGAAGUGCGAAUGCUGACAUAAGUAACGAUAAAGCGGGUGAAAAGCCCGCUCGCCGGAAGACCAAGGGUUCCUGUCCAACGUUAAUCGGGGCAGGGUGAGUCGACCCCUAAGGCGAGGCCGAAAGGCGUAGUCGAUGGGAAACGGGUUAAUAUUCCCGUACUUGGUGUUACUGCGAAGGGGGGACGGAGAAGGCUAUGUUGGCCGGGCGACGGUUGUCCCGGUUUAAGCGUGUAGGUGUGUGUUCCAGGUAAAUCCGGUUCACUUUAACACUGAGGCGUGACGACGAGGCACUACGGUGCUGAAGCAACAAAUGCCCUGCUUCCAGGAAAAGCCUCUAAGCAUCAGGUAACAUCAAAUCGUACCCCAAACCGACACAGGUGGUCAGGUAGAGAAUACCAAGGCGCUUGAGAGAACUCGGGUGAAGGAACUAGGCAAAAUGGUGCCGUAACUUCGGGAGAAGGCACGCUGACACGUAGGUGAAGUGAUUUACUCAUGGAGCUGAAGUCAGUCGAAGAUACCAGCUGGCUGCAACUGUUUAUUAAAAACACAGCACUGUGCAAACACGAAAGUGGACGUAUACGGUGUGACGCCUGCCCGGUGCCGGAAGGUUAAUUGAUGGGGUCAGCGCAAGCGAAGCUCCUGAUCGAAGCCCCGGUAAACGGCGGCCGUAACUAUAACGGUCCUAAGGUAGCGAAAUUCCUUGUCGGGUAAGUUCCGACCUGCACGAAUGGCGUAAUGAUGGCCAGGCUGUCUCCACCCGAGACUCAGUGAAAUUGAACUCGCUGUGAAGAUGCAGUGUACCCGCGGCAAGACGGAAAGACCCCGUGAACCUUUACUAUAGCUUGACACUGAACAUUGAGCCUUGAUGUGUAGGAUAGGUGGGAGGCUUUGAAGUGUGGACGCCAGUCUGCAUGGAGCCGACCUUGAAAUACCACCCUUUAAUGUUUGAUGUUCUAACGUGGACCCGUUACCCGGGUUGCGGACAGUGUCUGGUGGGUAGUUUGACUGGGGCGGUCUCCUCCUAAAGAGUAACGGAGGAGCACGAAGGUUGGCUAAUCCUGGUCGGACAUCAGGAGGUUAGUGCAAUGGCAUAAGCCAGCUUGACUGCGAGCGUGACGGCGCGAGCAGGUGCGAAAGCAGGUCAUAGUGAUCCGGUGGUUCUGAAUGGAAGGGCCAUCGCUCAACGGAUAAAAGGUACUCCGGGGAUAACAGGCUGAUACCGCCCAAGAGUUCAUAUCGACGGCGGUGUUUGGCACCUCGAUGUCGGCUCAUCACAUCCUGGGGCUGAAGUAGGUCCCAAGGGUAUGGCUGUUCGCCAUUUAAAGUGGUACGCGAGCUGGGUUUAGAACGUCGUGAGACAGUUCGGUCCCUAUCUGCCGUGGGCGCUGGAGAACUGAGGGGGGCUGCUCCUAGUACGAGAGGACCGGAGUGGACGCAUCACUGGUGUUCGGGUUGUCAUGCCAAUGGCACUGCCCGGUAGCUAAAUGCGGAAGAGAUAAGUGCUGAAAGCAUCUAAGCACGAAACUUGCCCCGAGAUGAGUUCUCCCUGAGACUUAGAGUCUCCUGAAGGAACGUUGAAGACGACGACGUUGAUAGGCCGGGUGUGUAAGCGCAGCGAUGCGUUGAGCUAACCGGUACUAAUGAACCGUGAGGCUUAACCUU
rnacentral:rRNA from 5 species